rnacentral:tRNA from 1 species
AACAAGAUGUAGCUUAAAAAAGCUUUUCGUUUACACCGGAACGAUAUCUGUUAAACCCAGAUCACCUU